rnacentral:rRNA from 1 species
UAAGGGCUCACCAAGGCGACGAUCCCUAGCUGGUCUGAGAGGAUGAUCAGCCACACUGGAACUGAGACACGGUCCAGACUCCUACGGGAGGCAGCAGUGGGGAAUAUUGCACAAUGGGCGCAAGCCUGAUGCAGCCAUGCCGCGUGUAUGAAGAAGGCCUUCGGGUUGUAAAGUACUUUCAGCAGUGAGGAAGGUGGUAGUGUUAAUAGCACUAUCAUUUGACGUUAGCUGCAGAAGAAGCACCGGCUAACUCCGUGCCAGCAGCCGCGGUAAUACGGAGGGUGCGAGCGUUAAUCGGAAUUACUGGGCGUAAAGCGCAUGCAGGUGGUUUGUUAAGUCAGAUGUGAAAGCCCGGGGCUCAACCUCGGAAUUGCAUUUGAAACUGGCAGACUAGAGUACUGUAGAGGGGGGUAGAAUUUCAGGUGU